AUGUACCCACGUACACUCCGGUGCCUCCGCGCCGUCCGCACCCACCUGACGACUGCUCGCUACGUUUUGUUAGCC
rnacentral:sRNA from 1 species